rnacentral:tRNA from 1 species
GGGCUAUAGCUCAGUGGUAGAGCACAUGCUUAGCAUGCACGAGGUCCUAGGUUCAAUCCCCAAGACCA